rnacentral:snRNA from 1 species
AGCUUUGCGCAGUGGCAGUAUCGUAGCCAAUGAGGUUUAUCCAAGGCGCGAUUAUUGCUAAUUGAAAGUCAAGUCAUAAUCAAAGCUAUGGGCAAUCACAGAUGGAUAAAGCAUGGGAAAAUGAAAGCACG